rnacentral:lncRNA from 1 species
AUGCUAAUCACAGCUAACGAGGAAGGGAGGCCAUUCCCCACGUCAGCCUGGUGCAGCUGGCAUCACCCCACCGAAGCCCCCCCAGCUCUCAGCAACGCCACCCUCAUCCCUGACCCCAUUAUAACACGGGGGGGUGGGGGGUGGGCAGGGGCUGCUGGAGGUGUCCCCACUGCAGGGAGGGCCUCAGCUGCAGUGCUGCUUUUCCCAGAGGAAGGGCCAGGCCCUGGGAAGCUAUUUCCCCCCUCCAUGACCCCCCCUCUGUGCUCCUUCCGCUCCUCCCGCAGUGAUUCGGGCUCUGGGUGUGAUGGUGAGUGCGGUGCUGGAGGACCCCAGCCCCAUUUUGGGGUCCUGCAGAGCCCCGACGCACUCACCGCACCCAGCAAGAUGCAGCUGUGCCCAUCAGCCCCACAUCCACGUGCUGGACUCAGCCCAGCCGGGCAGAAAGCUCUGGAGCCCAUUAACAUUCCCCUGAGCCAUCUCGUCCCCUCUCUGCCCUGCCUCUGUUUUAAUCAAGCCCAGCCUGGCGCCGUGCAAAUAACCGGGGCGGUCGGCACCCUGCAAACCCACAGCGCUGCUGGCGCCGGGCGCUGCUGCCCUGCUGUGUGCCCACAUCCCUCGGGGCGUGCCCACCUCCCUGCUGUGUGCCCACCUCCCUGCUGUGUGCCCCUGUCCCCCCAGUACGUCCCCAUGCUGCUCACACACCCCAAUGUGCCCCAGCACAUCAGUGCAUCCCCAGGUCCCCCAUGUGUCUCCAUGCCCUCGGUGUGUCCCCAUGUUCCCAGUAUACCCCCAUGUUUCCAGUGUCCCCAUGUCCCCAUCAUGUCCCCAGUACAUCCUCAUGUCCCCAGUGCCCCUCUGUGUCCCCAGUAUAUCCCCACGACCCCAGCGUGUCACCAAGUCCCCAGUACUUCCCCCAUAUCCCCAGUGCAUCCCCAAGUCCCCCAUGUGUCCCCAUGUUUCCAGAGCACCCCCAUGUCCCCAGUGUGUCACCACAUCCCCAGUGCACCCCCAUGUCCCCAUUACGUCCUCAUGUCCCCAUCAUGUCCCCAUGCCCCCAGUGCACCCCCAAGUCUCCACUGCCCCCAUGCCCCCAUGUCCCCAAUACAUCCCCAUAUCUGCGAUGUGUCACCAUGUCCCCAAGCCCCCCUCGUGUCCCCAGUGCCCCCCAUGUCCCCAGUACAUCCCCACGUUCCCAAUGCGUCACCAUGUCCCCAGUGUCCCCACAUGUCCCCAAUACAUCCCCUUGUCCCCAUUGCAUCCCCAUUUCCCCAGUAUGCCCCCAAGUCCCCCAUGUGCCCCACGUGUCUCCAACGUGCCCCCGUGCCCCCACUGCAGCCCCCUGUCCCCUUCACGUCCCCACGCCCCAUUGUGCCCCACAUCCCUGCACAUGGCAGCACUGUGGCUGCCCAUCCCGGGGGGCAGUGGGGGGGCUGUGUGGCCGUGGGAGGGGGGGGGACAGAGCCUCACACAGAUCUUCACUCUCUGGUAAUUUUCACAGCCGUGCUGGAGCCGGAGGAGCUGAGAUCAGCAAAGCGAGGGCCAGGAGAGCAGGGGAGGGAAGCGAAGGCUCUUGCCAGGCUGGCAGUAAUGUUUGCUGGGUGA